AUUGAACGCUGGCGGCAUGCCUUACACAUGCAAGUCGAACGGCAGCGCGGACUUCGGUCUGGCGGCGAGUGGCGAACGGGUGAGUAAUACAUCGGAACGUACCCUGUUGUGGGGGAUAACUAGUCGAAAGAUUAGCUAAUACCGCAUACGACCUGAGGGUGAAAGGGGGGGGCCGCAAGGCCUCACGCAGCAGGAGCGGCCGAUGUCUGAUUAGCUAGUUGGUGGGGUAAAGGCCCACCAAGGCGACGAUCAGUAGCUGGUCUGAGAGGACGAUCAGCCACACUGGGACUGAGACACGGCCCAGACUCCUACGGGAGGCAGCAGUGGGGAAUUUUGGACAAUGGGGGCAACCCUGAUCCAGCAAUGCCGCGUGUGUGAAGAAGGCCUUCGGGUUGUAAAGCACUUUUGUCCGGAAAGAAAUCGCGCUGGUUAAUACCUGGCGUGGAUGACGGUACCGGAAGAAUAAGCACCGGCUAACUACGUGCCAGCCGCCGCAGUAA
rnacentral:rRNA from 1 species